UGUAUGUAUAUAUGCACAAUAGAAUAUUAUUCAGCCAUAAAAAAUGAAAUAUUGCCAUUUGUGACAAUAUGGGUGGAUCUUAAGGGUAUUAUGCUAUAUGAAAUAAGUCAGAUGGAGGAAAGACAAAUACUGCAUGAUUUCACUCAUAUAUGUAAUAUUUUAUAAAUAAUAAUAAUGAACAAACAA